GACAUUAUAGCAAAGUGGUUAAUGCGGGGCACUGUUAAUGCUUUUCUCGAAGGUUCGAAUCCUUCUAAUGUCU
rfam:Serendipita vermifera MAFF 305830 unplaced genomic scaffold scaffold_150, whole genome shotgun sequence.